rnacentral:rRNA from 1 species
GGACUACGGGGGUAUCUAAUCCCUUUUGCGCCCCUAGCCUUCAUCCCUUACUGUCAGAACUGUCCUCGUAAGAUGCCUUCGCUGUUGUUAGUCCGUCUGGGAUUAACACAUUUUACCGCUACUCCAAACGUACUUCUUACGUCUUCCAGUCUCUAGCUUAACAGUACUUCUUGCCCGCUCCAUAUUUGAGACAUGGAAUUUCACAAGAAACUUAUUAAGCAAGCUACGGAUGUUUUAGACCCAAUAAUGAUGGCUGCGACUUGGACCGCGAGUAUUACCGCGGCGGCUGGCACUCGUCUUACCCAGUCCUUAUUCGCCAAACUUUUUACAUUUGGCAAAAGCUUUUCAUAUGAAAAGCACUCUGACUCAAUCUGUCAUACUUUCGUACAUUGCAGAAAAUUCCUAACUGCUGCACCCCAUAGG